AAGUCAAAAACCAAUCUUAUGCAACGGGGUUCAUCUUAAUGACUUGGGGUUCCAUAAACUGUUUAGACAGAUUAGAGGUGUCAUAUUAAUUCAGCUAAGACAGGAACCCAAGCCUAGUCCUUCUGUAAACAGCAAUGACGACAAGGGCUUCUAGCUUUCAAAGCAUCCAGAUCAAUCUGCAGACAAGACUUUGCAUCACUUGUUAUAAUUUGUUUGGACACAGAUUUAGAUGACAUCCAUACCAAAACGCAGGAGGCGGAAUAAGGCAUCCUCGCAUCCUCCCACAUAAACCCAUCCUCAAAGCGGUCUUAUGUCUCUGAGGACAUGGAAACGAUGAUAAGGACGUGCAUAGCCUCUA